GUAGAGUAGAUGUUACGCGUAAAGUGUCACGGAAUAGGAAGAGUUUCUGUGAACGAAGGAAAAUCCGCGUUGUAAUAUCGCUUCCGCUA
rnacentral:ncRNA from 1 species